rnacentral:rRNA from 1 species
UGUGUGUUAGUGGAAGCGUCUGGAAAGGCGCGCGAUACAGGGUGACAGCCCCGUACACAAAAAUGCACAUGCUGUGAGCUCGAUGAGUAGGGCGGGACACGUGGUAUCCUGUCUGAAUAUGGGGGGACCAUCCUCCAAGGCUAAAUACUCCUGACUGACCGAUAGUGAACCAGUACCGUGAGGGAAAGGCGAAAAGAACCCCGGCGAGGGGAGUGAAAAAGAACCUGAAACCGUGUACGUACAAGCAGUGGGAGCACGCUUAGGCGUGUGACUGCGUACCUUUUGUAUAAUGGGUCAGCGACUUAUAUUCUGUAGCAAGGUUAACCGAAUAGGGGAGCCGAAGGGAAACCGAGUCUUAACUGGGCGUUAAGUUGCAGGGUAUAGACCCGAAACCCGGUGAUCUAGCCAUGGGCAGGUUGAAGGUUGGGUAACACUAACUGGAGGACCGAACCGACUAAUGUUGAAAAAUUAGCGGAUGACUUGUGGCUGGGGGUGAAAGGCCAAUCAAACCGGGAGAUAGCUGGUUCUCCCCGAAAGCUAUUUAGG